rnacentral:lncRNA from 13 species
UGGUGAUGCUGUAAUACCCAGAUCAAAGGACUGAAAUAGCCUAGAAAUGAACUGGGCAUACCUGUAAUCCCAGCACUUUGAGGCCAAGGGAGAUCACUUGAGGCCAGGAGUUGGACAACUUAAUGAGAUCACUUGAUCACCUGAGCACAUAGAUUGCUUGAGGCCAGCCUGGGCAAUACAGCAAGACCUUGUCUCUACAAAAGAUUAAAAAACUUUGUCAGAAGAGGUGGCAUAUGUCUGUAGUCCCAGCUACUCAGGAGGCUGAGUUGGGAGGAUUACUUGGGCCUGGGAGGCCAAGGAUAUAGCAGGUUGUGACUGCACCACUUCUCUCAAGCCUGUGUGACAGAGUGAGACCCUGUCUCAAAAAAUAAAAAUAAAGCCCCAAAACAUAUUCAAAUAUAUGCAAACCAUUCUUUUGCAUUUUUUAUACACACACACACAUACACAUAUGUAUAUAUUUGGGUAUAUUUUCUGGACUUUCUGAGUGAACAUUUUCUUCCCCCAUAUUGUAUUUUCUUCCCUCUAUAUUGUGUUUUCUUCCUUUUUUUUUGUAUUCUUCUUUUUACAAAAUCAUAAUGCAUUAGCAAAGCCCCAAAAUGGAUCCCAGUGAUCUCUGCCUCCUGAUAUUCACACCUCACGUCUUGGUAUCCACAGGCUUUGUGCCAGGGUUGGUCUAUGCAAGCAGUUGAAACAAGCAGAAGAGAUGUUAUGUCACAUGGUAUGUUGUUAGGUCAUCAAGACCAUGGCUUCCAUCUUAGGCAGUCAUACUCUUUCUCUCUCAGAUCAUUUGCUGUGGGGAAGCAAACCACCACAUAGAGGAUGAUCUAACAGCCUCUGGAGUCUCACUUGGUAAGGAACUGAGGACUCCAGCCUGAGGACUCAGGCAAGUAACUGAGGCCUGCCGACAACUAUGGAGCAAGCCUGGAAAUGGAUCCUUCCUCAGCCUUCAGAUGGGGCAGCAGCUGGAAUGACAGCCAAGCCAGCGCCACAUAGCUUAGCAACCCCCAGAGAACUAACUCUCGGUGGCAUGGCCCCCUGAGUCCAGAUGCUCUUCACAAGUUCUUCAAUGUCCUGUCUCUUUACUUCUCGGAUCCUGCACAUCAGCACAGCAUAAAGGACACGCCACGACCCUGUGGGGCCCUACAGCCCUGCAGUGGUUACCCUCAAAGGAAAGUCCAUCAGACUCACAGUGGAUAUCUCGGCAGAAACCCUACAAGCCAAAAGAGUGGUGGGCCAAUAUUCAACAUCCUUAAAGAAAAGAACUUUCAAUCCAGAAUUUCAUAUCCAGCCAAACUAAGCUUCAUAAGCAAAGGAGAAAUAAAAUCCUUUACAAACAAGCAAUUGCUCUGAGAUUUUGUCACCAUCAGGCCUGCCUUAUAAGAGCUCCUGAAAGAAGCAUUAAAGAUAGAAAGAACCAGCCAGUACCAGCCCCUGCAAAAAUGUACCAAAAGGUAAAGACCAUCAACACAAUGAAGAAUCUGCAUCAACUAAUGGGCAAAACAGCCAGCUAGCAUCAAAAUGGCAGGAUCAAAUUCACACAUAACAAUAUUAACCUUAAAUGUAAAUGGGCUAAAUGCCCCAAUCAAAAGACACAGACUGGCAAAUUGAAUAAAAACUCAAAACCCAUCGGUGUGCUGUUUGCA